rnacentral:rRNA from 1 species
CCUACGGGAGGCAGCAGUGGGGAAUCUUGCGCAAUGCGCGAAAGCGUGACGCAGCAACGCCGCGUGGGGGAAGACGGCCUUAGGGUUGUAAACCCCUUUCAGGAGGGACGAAGGUCGGCGCGUUAAUAGCGUGUCCGACUGACGGUACCUCCACAAGAAGCCCCGGCUAACUACGUGCCAGCAGCCGCGGUAAUACGUAGGGGGCAAGCGUUGUCCGGAAUUAUUGGGCGUAAAGAGCGUGUAGGCGGUCCGGUAAGUCAGCUGUGAAAGUCAAGGGCUCAACCCUUGAAUGCCGGUUGAUACUGUCGGGCUAGAGUCCGGAAGAGGCGAGUGGAAUUCCCGGUGUAGCGGUGAAAUGCGCAGAUAUCGGGAGGAACACCAAUGGCGAAGGCAGCUCGCUGGGACGGUACUGACGCUGAGACGCGAAAGCGUGGGGAUCAAACAGGAUUAGAUACCCUGGUAGUCCACGCCGUAAACGAUGGGCACUAGGUGUUGGGGGUGUCCACUUCC